rnacentral:lncRNA from 1 species
GCAGCCUCGGUGCCCGCCCCCCCCGCCCCGCGCGGACCCCCGGUCCCGCCCGCACGCGCCCCGCCGCUUCCGGUGCAGCCGACCUCCGCUGCCGCGCGAGGGCGGGAGGCGGGUGCGCCCCGGCGGCGACCCCCAGCCAGCCACGGGCGGCGAGGUCGAGUGGGCCAGGGCAGGUGUCCCGGAGCUCCGCUGCGACGUCGGCCCGGCCCAACGGAUGCCGCGCGCCUGGCAGCUAGAAGGGGGCCCAGACCGUUCUCCACACUGUUCUCAGGUCUUUGUUUAAGACCGUGGGGGGACUGCUCCCGGAGCCCCGAGGAGAAACUGGCAAAGGGGAAACAGUGGAAAAGUUUGGAAUGCCGAGGGAGCAAGACGGCUUUCCCAAGGUUUUUAACCCGUGUGAGGCCUUAAGGGGAGCGGGGUUGGCCCUCUGCCCCUCUAGUGGAAGUUAGUUGUCUGGACGGAAGAGGAAGUGCGCUGCUCAGCCCACUCUCUGAACGCUGCAGAGGAAGCAGGAGAUAACCUUGCCUUCAAGGAACUUGGACUCUUGUUGGGGCCAGUAGCAUGGUGGCCAGAAUACUGCACUAAAACUUGCUGUGGUUGUGGUGAGCCUGACCUCCCACCAGCUGUGAUCUUAGAAAGGCCAUUUAGGUUACCAGUCACAGAGGAUUUAAAACACCAUAAAAAGCUGGUGAACAGUGCCUAGCAUAUAAGUCCUUUACACAGGCAUGCUGUUAUUCAUAUGGGAAAGAAUACAGUAUUCCACAUAGCCAUAAAGGCUGAGAUUAAUGUGCGUGUUGUUUUUUUUUUAAAGUGUGGAGAGAUGAUAUAGCAGAAGACACUACAAACUAUGAUCUCAAACUGUGAUGUACCUUUAAGUUCAUAAUUAAUCUAGAAAAGGAAAAGAAUAUGAUUUGGAGUGUAUCAUAUGAUCAGUAGAAUUUGGGGCACACCAAUAAAAUUCCUUUUAUUAAUGACAAAGGCCUCUAGCCCUCCUUCGUGAAGUGAAAAAGAGUGGAUAUGAAUUAAUUUAUGCAUUUUUAAAAGCAUUGACUGACUUAUGGACCAAUCAUUGAGAAAGAAGGAAGGACCAAAAUAGCACCGGACCUUGUAUCUGAUACACUCAAAGCCAAUAAUAAUUACCAUUAGUUAUUGAGCAUAGGAGCCAGGCAUUAAGCACAUUUCAGUAAUCCUUACAACAGUGAGUUAGGUCUUAUUAAUGUCUCCCACUUCCAACAUUAGAAAACUAAGACUCAGACAUGAUUUCUAAAAAUUGCUUACAAUAAAUUGAUUUCAAAUUCAUUCUGAAUUUGAGGCCAUCCUCCUAACCACAAUGUUUUUACAAACACAAUUCAUUGGUACAAGUAUUAUUACAGUAGCUGUACUAAGUGUUCUAUGAAAAUACAGGCAGUGGGUGGCAAAUUAAGCCUAGAGAAUGUUCAAGAGUGCACUAUAUUCAAGUAACAUUUAUUUGACCUGAGCCUGAGGAAUGGACAGUACUCUGCAAGUGGAGGAGGAGAGAUGAAUGUUCUGGGCAGAGAGAAGUGCAUUCAAAGACAGGAACCUGAAAGAACAAAGUGUGUAGUGGGGCCUACUGAGCAGUUCUGAAUAGAGAAUAGGUUCUCAAGAGGACAGAGGUGAGGUAAGAACAGUGGAAAGGCAUCUUCUCCAGAGGUGAGUUUCAUCCUAGAGGACACAUGGAGCCAUUGAAAGUGCUUGAAUGGAAUGUUAACACAACCAAUCCAGUGUUUUAGUCUGAUUUCUGCUACCAGCAUUGCAGCAUAGAAGGGGAGAGACUGAAACACAGGACCACCAUUUAAAGUCUUAUGCAAAAUUCCAUUGGUUUGAAGAAGCAUGGCCUAUAUAAAAGACUAAGACAUAAAAGGAUUGGAACAGAGCUGGAAGGCGGGUGUUCAGUAUUUUAGUUAGUUCUUCUUGGCCAAGUGCUAUCGUUUGAAUAUAAUUUGUCCCCACCAAUACUCAUGUUGAAAUUUGACUCUCAAUAUGGUAGUAUUGGGGGGCCUUUUGGG